rnacentral:rRNA from 1 species
UACGGAGGGUGCAAGCGGUGUCCGGAUUUAUUGGGUUUAAAGGGUGCGUAGGUGGCUUGUUAAGUCCGGGGUGAAAGCCCACAGCUCAACUGUGGAACUGCCCUGGAUACUGGCAGGCUUGAGAGUCGUCGAGGGUGGCGGAAUGGACGGUGUAGCGGUGAAAUGCAUAGAUACCGUCCAGAACCCCAAUUGCGUAGGCAGCUGCCUAGGCGACAUCUGACACUGAGGCACGAAAGCGUGGGGAGCGAACAGG